rnacentral:piRNA from 1 species
UUACCCCAUGCCUCUAGUGGCUUUCUUGCU